rnacentral:rRNA from 1 species
AACGAACGCUGGCGGCAUGCCUAAUACAUGCAAGUCGAACGAGAUCUUCGGAUCCGGUGGCGCACGGGUGCGUAACGCGUGGGAAUCUGCCCUUGGGUUCGGAAUAACGUCGGGAAACUGACGCUAAUAUCGGAUGAUGACGUAAGUCCAAAGAUUUAUCGCCCAGGGAUGAGCCCGCGUAGGAUUAGCUAGUUGGUGGGGUAAAGGCCUACCAAGGCGACGAUCCUUAGCUGGUCUGAGAGGAUGAUCAGCCACACUGGGACUGAGACACGGCCCAGACUCCUACGGGAGGCAGCAGUGGGGAAUAUUGGACAAUGGGCGAAAGCCUGAUCCAGCAAUGCCGCGUGAGUGAUGAAGGCCUUAGGGUUGUAAAGCUCUUUUACCCGGGAUGAUAAUGACAGUACCGGGAGAAUAAGCCCCGGCUAACUACGUGCCAGCCGCCGCAGUAA